rnacentral:rRNA from 1 species
AUGUGGCAAUUUUGUGAGUGUAGUCUUACCUUGACAUACUGCAUGUUGCAUAAUCAAAGUAUCCUUUUUCUCGAUAUAGCCCAACCAUGGCAAACUGCAGGUCAUUACUUAUUUUCAUCGAUAUUGGCUCAUGUAUACAGAUCAGUGCAUGGAACUGCCUAUUUCAAGGGAAGAUAUUUGGUUUUUCAUUUUGGCAAAAUAUUGGGUGAAAUACUAAGCGACUAUACGAAGUUUAUAAACAAUGGAGAAAGCCUCGAGACUCCUAGUCAGAGAAGGGGAAGUAUCCUUUGCAGCUGCAUUCAAAAAAGGGGAAUGAGGUGA